rnacentral:rRNA from 1 species
GACGGAGGGAGCUAGCGUUGUUCGGAAUGACUGGGCGUAAAGGGCGCGUAGGCGGUUUUUUAAGUGAGGCGUGAAAGCCCUGGGCUUAACCCAGGAGGUGCGCUUCAGACUGGAAAGCUUGAGAACGAGAGAGGAAAGUGGAAUUCCUAGUGUAGAGGUGAAAUUCGUAGAUAUUAGGAAGAACACCAGUGGCGAAGGCGACUUUCUGGCUCGUAACUGACGCUGAGGCGCGAAAGCGUGGGGAGCAAACAGG